rnacentral:lncRNA from 1 species
UGCUCCUCCAAAGCCGGAGCCCAAACCUAAAAAGGCCCCUGCAAAGAAGGGAGAGAAGGUACCAAAAGGGAAAAGGGAAAAGCUGAGGCUGGCCAGGAGGGGAAUAACCCUGCAGAAAAUGGAGAUGCCCAAACAGACCAGACACAGAAAGCUGAAGGUGCUGCAGAUGCCAAGUGAAAAUUAGACCUUUACGAGAAGCACAGUUUUGUCUUCAGUUUCCUCUCCCCCCACCCGGAAUGGCCUGAGCCGAAGCCAGCUCCCUCCGAGAAGUCAUUACCGCCUGACUUGCGUUUGAUAUUUAGACACCUUGGUCACAACAUCUUGCAUUCUCUCGGGAUGCUGAUUUCUAACUGCUCUUUGGCCUUUCCUGCAUUGGUCCUCCUCAGGCAGGGGAUCCCUGCUCUUCUAUAUUAGUG